AUUGAACGCUGGCGGCACGCCUAACACAUGCAAGUCGAGCGGCAGCAUGCUUAGUAGCAAUACUAAGUGAUGGCGAGCGGCGGACGGGUGAGGAACACGUAGGAACCUGCCCAAGAGAGGGGGAUAACUAAGGGAAACUUUAGCUAAUACCGCAUAAUCUCUGAGGAGAAAAGCUGCCCGCAAGGGUAGCGCUUUUGGAGGGGCCUGCGUCCGAUUAGCUAGUUGGUGAGGUAAUGGCUCACCAAGGCGAUGAUCGGUAACUGGUCUGAGAGGACGACCAGUCACACUGGGACUGAGACACGGCCCAGACUCCUACGGGAGGCAGCAGUGGGGAAUCUUGGACAAUGGGGGCAACCCUGAUCCAGCGAUGCCGCGUGGGUGAAGAAGGCCUUCGGGUUGUAAAGCCCUUUAGGCUGGGAAGAAGUGUGCGGGGUGAAUAAUCCUGUACAUUGACGGUACCAGCAGAAUAAGCACCGGCAAACUCUGUGCCAGCCGCCGCGGUAA
rnacentral:rRNA from 1 species